rnacentral:misc_RNA from 1 species
UCCGGUUUGUCACCGGCGGUCUCCUUAGAGUUCCCACCAUUACGUGCUGGCAACUAAGGACAAGGGUUGCGCUCGUUGCGGGACUUAACCCAACAUCUCACGACACGAGCUGACGACAGCCAUGCAGCACCUGUCUCACGGUUCCCGAAGGCACCAAUCCAUCUCUGGAAAGUUCCGUACAAGUCAAGGGUAGGUAAGGUGGGGAUGACGUUACGGUCUUACU